rnacentral:rRNA from 1 species
UACGGAGGAUGCGAACGUUAUCCGGAUUUAUUGGGUUUAAAGGGUGCGUAGGCGGGAUGCCAAGUCAGCGGUAAAAAUGCGGUGCUCAACGCCGUCGAGCCGUUGAAACUGGCGUUCUUGAGUGGGCGAGAAGUAUGCGGAAUGCGUGGUGUAGCGGUGAAAUGCAUAGAUAUCACGCAGAACUCCGAUUGCGAAGGCAGCAUACCGGCGCCCUACUGACGCUGAGGCACGAAAGCGUGGGUAUCGAACAGG